CUCCCUGUCUCUUGUCAGGUGAUGGAAAGACUGUCCGUACCAGCAGGCAUGUCCAGGAGAGUGCCAGCAGGGCUGCAGAUCCACUGCUCUUACUGGGAGCUCCAGCCUUGCCACUGAUCCCCGAAGACUGAAGUGACUGCAGAAGGUUUUUUGCUGUUGCAUCUGGCUGGGACUCCGCGAGCUGCUGAAGCGCCAACUGCAGGGCUCUGCGCGACGCCGCGUCGCGGUAUCGGUGCAGAGUAAGGCAGAAGAGUUUGCAAAGGCCUUUCACUGCACCCUCGGGAAGAUCUUUCCCAGAAAUGCAUUUUCCCAGCUCACUGAGGAUCUCCCUCCGCUCCUUCACGCUGGCUGUAGUUA
rnacentral:lncRNA from 1 species